rnacentral:rRNA from 1 species
GAUGAACGCUGGCGGCGUGCCUAAUACAUGCAAGUCGAGCGAACGGACGAGAAGCUUGCUUUUCUGAUGUUAGCGGCGGACGGGUGAGUAACACGUGGAUAACCUACCUAUAAGACUGGGAUAACUUCGGGAAACCGGAGCUAAUACCGGAUAAUAUUUUGAACCGCAUGGUUCAAAAGUGAAAGACGGUCUUGCUGUCACUUAUAGAUGGAUCCGCGCUGCAUUAGCUAGUUGGUAAGGUAACGGCUUACCAAGGCAACGAUGCAUAGCCGACCUGAGAGGGUAAUCGGCCACACUGGAACUGAGACACGGUCCAGACUCCUACGGGAGGCAGCAGUAGGGAAUCUUCCGCAAUGGGCGAAAGCCUGACGGAGCAACGCCGCGUGAGUGAUGAAGGUCUUCGGAUCGUAAAACUCUGUUAUUAGGGAAGAACAUAUGUGUAAGUAACUGUGCACAUCUUGACGGUACCUAAUCAGAAAGCCACGGCUAACUACGU